rnacentral:ncRNA from 1 species
CACCUGGUUGAUCCUGCCAGUAGUCAUAUGCUUGUCUCAAAGAUUAAGCCAUGCAUGUCUAAGUAUAAGCUUUAAACGGCGAAACUGCGAAUGGCUCAUUAAAACAGUUAUAGUUUAUUUGGUGAUCGAUUACUAUUUGGAUAACCGUAGUAAUUCUAGAGCUAAUACAUGCGUCAAGGCCCGACUUCGGAAGGGCUGCGUUUAUUAGAUACAGAACAAACCUAGGCUCCGCCUAGUCC